rnacentral:rRNA from 1 species
CAGUAGCCGCGGUAAUACGUAGGUGGCAAGCGUUAUCCGGAAUUAUUGGGCGUAAAGCGCGCGUAGGCGGUUUUUUAAGUCUGAUGUGAAAGCCCACGGCUCAACCGUGGAGGGUCAUUGGAAACUGGAAAACUUGAGUGCAGAAGAGGAAAGUGGAAUUCCAUGUGUAGCGGUGAAAUGCGCAGAGAUAUGGAGGAACACCAGUGGCGAAGGCGACUUUCUGGUCUGUAACUGACGCUGAUGUGCGAAAGCGUGGGGAUCAAACAGGAUUAGAUACCCCCGUAGUCCCUGUCUCUUAUAC